CAGCAGCCACGGUAAUACGGAGGGUGCAAGCGUUAAUCGGAAUUACUGGGCGUAAAGCGCACGCAGGCGGUCUGUCAAGUCAGAUGUGAAAUCCCCGGGCUUAAUCUGGGAACUGCAUUUGAAACUGGCAGGCUAGAGUCUUGUAGAGGGGGGUAGAAUUCCAGGUGUAGCGGUGAAAUGCGUAGAGAUCUGGAGGAAUACCGGUGGCGAAGGCGGCCCCCUGGACAAAGACUGACGCUCAGGUGCGAAAGCGUGGGGAGCAAACAGGAUUAGAUACCCGCGUAGUCCCUGUCUCUUAUAC
rnacentral:rRNA from 1 species